GACGAAGGGGGCUAGCGUUGUUCGGAAUUACUGGGCGUAAAGCGCGUGUAGGCGGUUGUCCAAGUUGGAUGUGAAAGCCUUGAGCUCAACUCAAGAAAUGCAUUCAGGACUGGAUGGCUAGAGGACCGGAGAGGAUAGUGGAAUUCCCAGUGUAGUGGUGAAAUACGUAGAGAUUGGGAAGAACACCAGUGGCGAAGGCGGCUAUCUGGACGGUUUCUGACACUAAGACUCGAAAGCGUGGGGAGCAAACAGG
rnacentral:rRNA from 1 species